rnacentral:rRNA from 1 species
CACGCACACACGCGCGGCAUAUCAAUAAGCGGAGGAAAAGAAACUAACAAGGAUUCCCUUAGUAACGGCGAGUGAAGCGGGAAGAGCUCAAAUUUGAAAUCUUCAAGGUUCUACCUUGACGAAUUGUAGUUUAUAGAAGUGUUUUCUGUUAGUGGAGUGGCAAAAGUUCUUUGGAAUAGGACAUCAUAGAGGGUGAGAAUCCCGUAUUUGGUCAUUCCUUUCUAGCUUUGUGAUACACUUUCAAAGAGUCGGAUUGUUUGGGAAUGCAGUCCAAAAUGGGUGGUAAAUUUCAUCUAAAGCUAAAUAUUGGCGAGAGACCGAUAGCGAACAAGUACCGUGAGGGAAAGAUGAAAGGAACUUUGAAAAGAGAGUUAAACAGUACGUGAAAUUGUCAAAAGGGAAGCGUUUGACACCAGUGUUGUUUUUCCGAAAAUCAAAUUACGAAUGUUUUAGUUUUUGAGAAGUUAUGACUUCAUCGGCUUGCUUCUCUCUCUUACGAAACUUUCUUAAUGCACUUUUCGGUUAACAAGUCAACAUCAAUUUCUUUUGUUGUAAAAGGGUAUGAGGAAGGUGGCUUUCUUUUCGGAGAAAGUGUUUAUAGCCUUGUAGCCUCUGCAAUCGGAGAGAUUGAGGUCUGCAGCGUAGAUCCUUCGGGGUUAGAUACAUUCGUGCUAAGUUAUAGCUUUUCAUAGACAACUUGUUGACUAUGUUUAGUCUUGUAGCUUACUCGCUUAUGCUAUUUUACCUACGCUUAGGAUGUUGAUAGUCACAGCGUGUAC